CCCAAAAUGCUGGGAUUACAAGCAUGAACCACUGUGACUUGCCUUCUUGGCAAUUUUAAAUGAAAGAAGAAGAUGGAAUAAUGCCUACUGAGGACUAUGUUUGAGGGGUGUUGUAUGACCCCGUUUUCCAUACCCAGCCAACUUGUCAUGUGACAAGUCCACAGAAAGAUGUUAUAUGACAGGAAUCUAUGAACUAGUCUUCCCUGAAAUGUACCUGACUACAGCUAACAUCAUAUCACAUGAUGAAAGACCGCGUUGUUUUCCCCUGAGGUUGGCAGUGCAGGAAGAUGUACGUGAAAUAAUUCAUGGAAAAGUCACAGUGGCCUUGAAGUUCUCCAGAUAACUAUGAAAAACUACGUUAAGAUGCUAUUUUUCAACAAAAUUCAUUUUACCAACCUCAAAACGUAUUUCCUCCGAAGAGGAUACGCACUGACAAACAACACCCGAGUGUGGCAUGCUAGCAGGAGCACUAGGCUGGGAGUCAAGAGACUUAAAUUCCACCCGGAAGCCACCACAUGACCUUGGCAUGAGCCCGUCACCAGGCUCCUCAGCGUCCUCAUCGCAGCACCAGGGAUUUCCCAAGCCCUCCGGAAAUACUGUAACUUGACAACAAUGGAGAAAGACUUUCACCCAUGCGGUUGGAAUGCUAGCCUUAAAAUAUAUACAAUUGUUACAUGUCAAUAAAAAUAAAUAAAUAAAUGUUUAAAAAAAAAAA
rnacentral:lncRNA from 1 species